CGGGGGCGGCCCUAACACAUGCAGUCGAGCGGCAGCGGAAGUAGCUUGCUACUUUGCCGGCGAGCGGCGGACGGGUGAGUAAUGUCUGGGAAACUGCCUGAUGGAGGGGGAUAACUACUGGAAACGGUAGCUAAUACCGCAUAACGUCGCAAGACCAAAGAGGGGGACCUUCGGGCCUCUUGCCAUCAGAUGUGCCCAGAUGGGAUUAGCUAGUAGGUGGGGUAACGGCUCACCUAGGCGACGAUCCCUAGCUGGUCUGAGAGGAUGACCAGCCACACUGGAACUGAGACACGGUCCAGACUCCUACGGGAGGCAGCAGUGGGGAAUAUUGCACAAUGGGCGCAAGCCUGAUGCAGCCAUGCCGCGUGUAUGAAGAAGGCCUUCGGGUUGUAAAGUACUUUCAGCGGGGAGGAAGGUGUUGAGGUUAAUAACCUCAGCAAUUGACGUUACCCGCAGAAGAAGCACCGGCUAACUCCGUGCCAGCAGCCGCGGUAAUACGGAGGGUGCAAGCGUUAAUCGGAAUUACUGGGCGUAAAGCGCACGCAGGCGGUCUGUCAAGUCAGAUGUGAAAUCCCCGGGCUCAACCUGGGAACUGCAUUCGAAACUGGCAGGCUAGAGUCUUGUAGAGGGGGGUAGAAUUCCAGGUGUAGCGGUGAAAUGCGUAGAGAUCUGGAGGAAUACCGGUGGCGAAGGCGGCCCCCUGGACAAAGACUGACGCUCAUGUGCGAAAGCGUGGGGAGCAAACAGGAUUAGAUACCCUGGUAGUCCACGCCGUAAACGAUGUCGACUUGGAGGUUGUGCCCUUGAGGCGUGGCUUCCGGAGCUAACGCGUUAAGUCGACCGCCUGGGGAGUACGGCCGCAAGGUUAAAACUCAAAUGAAUUGACGGGGGCCCGCACAAGCGGUGGAGCAUGUGGUUUAAUUUCGAUGCAACGCGAAGAACCUUACCCUACUCUUGACAUCCAGAGAACUUUCCAGAGAUGGAUUGGUGCCUUCGGGAACUCUGAGACAGGUGCUGCAUGGCUGUCGUCAGCUUCGUGUUGUGAAAAUGUUGGGUAAGUCCCGCACGAGCGCAACCCAUAUUCUUUGUUGCAGCGGUUCAGGCCGGAACUCAAGGAACUGCAGUGAAUAACCUGAGAGGUGGAGAUGACGUCAAGUCAUCAUGGCCUUACGAGUUAGGCCUACACGGUGUCAUACAUAGUGGGC
rnacentral:rRNA from 1 species